CAGCCGCCGCGGUAAUACCGGCGGCCCGAGUGGCGGUCACUAUUAUUGGGCUUAAAGCGUCCGUAGCCGGGUUGGGAAGUCCUCCGGGAAAUCUGGCCGCUUAAAGGUCAGAAUGCCGGAGGAUACUCCCAGCCUAGGGAGCGGGAGAGGCCGAGGGUAUUCCCGGAGUAGGGGGGAAAUCCUAUAAUUCCGGGAGGACCACCUGUGGCGAAGGCGCUCGGCUGGAACGCGUCCGACGGUGAGGGACGAAGGCCAGGGGAGCAAACCGGAUUAGAUACCCGGGUAGUCCUGGCUGUAAACGAUGCGGACUUUGUGUCGGACAAGCUAUGAGCUUGUCCGGUGCCGGAGGGAAACCGUUAAGUCCGCCGCCUGGGGAGUACGGCCGCAAGGCUGAAACUUAAAGGAAUUGGCGGG
rnacentral:rRNA from 1 species